AUCGCGAUUGAUCCUUCGGGUGAUUGAGCGAUUGGAAAGCGGCGGACGGGUGAGUAACGCGUGGGUAACCUGCCCUGUACAGAGGAAUAGCCAUUGGAAACGGUGAUUAAUACCUCAUAAGACUACGGUACCGCAUGGUACAGUGGUCAAAGAUUUAUCGGUACAGGAUGGACCCGCGUCUGAUUAGCUAGUUGGUGAGGUAACGGCUCACCAAGGCGACGAUCAGUAGCCGACCUGAGAGGGUGAUCGGCCACACUGGAACUGAGACACGGUCCAGACUCCUACGGGAGGCAGCAGUGGGGAAUAUUGCACAAUGGGCGCAAGCCUGAUGCAGCAACGCCGCGUGAGUGAUGAAGGCCUUCGGGUCGUAAAACUCUGUUCUGAAGGAAGAAUAAUGACGGUACUUCAGGAGGAAGCCCCGGCUAAUUACGUGCCAGCAGCCGCGGUAAUACGUAAGGGGCAAGCGUUAUCCGGAAUCACUGGGCGUAAAGGGUGCGUAGGCGGCUUAGCAAGCCAGAGGUGAAAGGCAUUGGCUCAACCAAUGUAAGCCUUUGGAACUGUUAGGCUUGAGUGCAGGAGAGGAAAGUGGAAUUCCUAGUGUAGCGGUGAAAUGCGUAGAUAUUAGGAGGAACACCAGUGGCGAAGGCGACUUUCUGGACUGUAACUGACGCUGAGGCACGAAAGCGUGGGGAGCGAACAGGAUUAGAUACCCUGGUAGUCCACGCCGUAAACGAUGAACACUAGGUGUCGGGGGUCGAACCUCGGUGCCGCAGCUAACGCAUUAAGUG
rnacentral:rRNA from 1 species